GGCGACCGUGGUGUAAUGGGUAGCACGUCCGCCCGGCAAGCGGAAGGACUCGGGUUCGAUCCCCGGGCGGUGCCU